GUCUGAAUGCAAUAAACCACUCCACCCCACCAACCAAUGAGGACAAGUGUCAACCUGCUGACAGUAUCACCUAUGCCUCCAUCCUCCACUUCAACCAAAAUCCGCCUCAGAGAGUUGAUGUCCAGGAUGAAGAUGCAGUGACCUAUUCCUCUGUUAUGCCCUCUUCUACCAGAGAGACAGAGAACCCUGCUGACCCCAGCUCUACUCCACAGCCAAGACAUCAACAUGAAGACUACACUCAGUCUUUCACAGCCUAAUCUCAGCACCCAGAACCAAAUAUCUUGUGAAUGCUGGCCAGCUACUCUAUUUGGUUCAGGAACAGUUGAUGGUCAUUAUGGCCAAACAGUUAUAUUUUUGUUUGAUCAGACCAGAGGACAUUUCUCCAAAAAGUAUGA